GAUGAAAGCGAGGAGGUACAUAGCGGAGUGGGGAAUGACGACGCGUGUGGAAAAACUGACUCGCCCGAAUCAUGUGUGACUGAGUAUUAAGUGCGAAUGCACCCGCCAGCAAAAUGUUUUUGCUGGCUUUUUUC
rnacentral:sRNA from 1 species